rnacentral:rRNA from 1 species
UGAAUUUCGGGAUUAGGGGGCCGGUCAUGCCUCUGGUAUGUACUUGACACUGCGGUUCCUACCUUCUGACGAACCGUCAUGUCAUUAAUUUGGUGUGGCGGGGAAUCAGGACUGUUACUUUGAAAAAAUUAGAGUGUUUAAAGCAGGCUCGCGCUUGAAUACAUUAGCAUGGAAUAAUGAAAUAGGACGUUCGAUCCUAUUUUGUUGGUUUCUAGGAUUGACGUAAUGAUUAAUAGGGAUAGUUGGGGGCAUUAGUAUUCAAUUGUCAGAGGUGAAAUUCUUGGAUUUAUUGAAGACUAACUACUGCGAAAGCAUUUGCCAAGGAUGUUUUCAUUAAUCAAGAACGAAAGUUAGGGGAUCGAAGACGAUCAGAUACC